UAUAUGUAGAUGUAAUUACAUGAUGAUAUCCAACUGAACACUGGUUUCUCCUUUAGAACAUUUAUGCACUGCUGACAAGCAAGCCAGAGAAAGAGCACAGAUUGCUUUUGUCUGUGCUCUUGCUCGGUGGCUUUUCCUUCAGCGAUUGCCUAGGCCUCCCUCCUAGCUUUUGUCUCUUGGUGGCACUUCAACAACCAUCUCAAUAUGCUUGUGGAUGCCUUUCCUGCUCUCUUAAGUUCUCAAAGGAAUUUGGUGUUGCAGAAUGAGUCAGUUGAAGAUGUUUAACAUUUUAAGAUAUUUUAGAAGAGACUGACAAUGAAGCUAGUGCUGCUUCAAGGAGAGAAGAAAACGAUGACAUAACUGUUAAUGGAAGCAUUGAUGAUGCCAACUCUGAUGAUGAAUCUUCAGCAGAUC